AUUUAUUUAGUAUACUAGUAUAUUUGACUUCCAAUCAAAAGGUCUAAACACAGUUUAGAAUAAAUA
rnacentral:tRNA from 1 species